rnacentral:piRNA from 1 species
UUUAGAUGGAGGCCGAUCGUGGAC